rnacentral:rRNA from 1 species
GCCUGCGGAAGGAUCAUUACAGAGUUCAUGCCCUCACGGGUAGAUCUCCCACCCUUGUAUAUCUAUCGAUGUUGCUUUAGCGGGCCACAGGCCCUGCCCGUACCGGCCCCGGCCGGUCGUGCCCGCUAGAGAACCCCAAACUCUGAAUGUUAGUGUCGUCUGAGUACUAUAAAAUAGUUAAAACUUUCAACAACGGAUCUCUUGGUUCUGGCAUCGAUGAAGAACGCAGCGAAAUGCGAUAAGUAAUGUGAAUUGCAGAAUUCAGUGAAUCAUCGAAUCUUUGAACGCACAUUGCGCCCCUUGGUAUUCCGAGGGGCAUGCCUGUUCGAGCGUCAUUUAAACCAAUCUAGCUCAGCUAGGUCUUGGGCUCCGCCGUCUGGCGGGCCUUAAAACCAGUGGCGGUACUGCCAGGCUUCUAAGCGUAGUAAAUUUCUCGCUAUAGGGCCCUGGUGGAUGCUUGCCAGCAACCCCUAAUUUUUUCAGGUUGACCUCGGAUCAGGUAGGGAUACCCGCUGAACUUAAGCAUAUCAAAAGGCC